rnacentral:rRNA from 1 species
GACGAACGCUGGCGGCGUGCUUAACACAUGCAAGUCGAGCGGAAAGGCUCCUUCGGGGGUACUCGAGCGGCGAACGGGUGAGUAACACGUGAGUAAUCUGCCCUGUGCUCUGGGAUAGCCACCGGAAACGGUGAUUAAUACCGGAUAUGACCAGCUACUGCAUGGUGGUUGGUGGAAAGUUUUUCGGCACAGGAUGUGCUCGCGGCCUAUCAGCUUGUUGGUGAGGUAAUGGCUCACCAAGGCUUUGACGAGUAGCCGGCCUGAGAGGGUGACCGGUCACACUGGGACUGAGACACGGCCCAGACUCCUACGGGAGGCAGCAGUGGGGAAUAUUGGACAAUGGGCGGAAGCCUGAUCCAGCAACGCCGCGUGAGGGAUGACGGCCUUCGGGUUGUAAACCUCUUUCAGUACCGACGAAGCGAAAGUGACGGUAGGUACAGAAGAAGGACCGGCCAACUACGUGCCAGCCGCCGCGGUAAUAC